AACACACUCAAUGCCCAAGACCUACAAAUAACCUGCACCGGAUCCACACCUUCUCACUUGGAACUCCUGCUCCACAGAUUACAACCGCACAGCAGGCAACUGAAGUUUUCAACAGCAGAGCACCAAGAUAAACCAGAACAUCCCAGGACACGCGUCACCUAAGAUGAAUUUACACAGACACUGGAUGUGACCUGAACACAAACCUACAGGAGAAACCUGGUGUGCAAUGGGAGUCAACAGAGCUGGGCUAGGAAGUGGUACUCUUGCUUCUUGGCCAGCAUCUCCUCCGUCUCCCGGAGGCGAGCCAGGGCUUCCUGGGCGCUGGGAGCCGCCCGGGCCCGGGAGGAGCGGGUCCCUUUAAAGAACUUACCCAACUUGCUCAUGGCUGAGCAGUGGGGGACGAGCGUCCCAGCGCUCUGGAGACAGGAGGGAGACAUUGUGAAGCUGGAGAUGGGGUAGAAGAGUCGAGGAUGCAGCUGAAAAACUUUACUGAACAAACUACAGAAUGCUGUGCCUAAUGAAGAAAUGAAGGGAUAUCUUGGGCAAGGAAAUGACUUUUUACUCAUAAAAAUAAUCC
rnacentral:lncRNA from 1 species